GGGCGAAGCGUUUUCUUAUUUAUUUCCGUUUUCUCGCCACUACAGCCUCCUGACAAGGUGAUCCGGGCGGGCCCCGCAGGAAUUUUAUCCCCUCACCGGCCUCACACUAGUAUCGCAUGUCCACUAUCCAGAACCUCCAAUCUUUCGACCCCUUUGCUGAUGCAACUAAGGGUGACGACUUACUCCCGGCAGGGACUGAGGAUUACAUUCAUAUAAGAAUUCAGCAACGGAACGGCAGAAAGACACUGACUACUGUUCAGGGCAUUGCAGAUGAUUAUGACAAAAAGAAACUUGUGAAAGCUUUCAAAAAGAAAUUUGCCUGUAAUGGUACUGUGAUUGAACAUCCUGAAUACGGAGAGGUUAUUCAGCUUCAAGGUGACCAAAGAAAAAACAUCUGCCAGUUUCUCUUGGAGGUGAGUGAUUGGGUGCUUUAUGUGUAACCUUGAGAUUGCUUUUAAAAUUGUAUUUAAAGGCAACAUGAUUUGUUUUCUACUAAGUAAAAAAUCAUACAAAUGAAGGAAAUUAGGUGAAAUAAAAACAUGGUACUUAUUUGGAAAGCAAAGACCUUCAUCUGGUUUGUCAUUAGAGUAUUCUGAUCAUUUCUGUAUAUACACACACAGGAUAUUUCUUGG
rnacentral:sRNA from 1 species